rnacentral:rRNA from 1 species
GUAGUAUACCUAAGAGUGUGCGUGUAGUAAUUAGUUUUGUCAGAGGACGGUCGGCGAGUGUUUAUCACACUUGCUUGCUUACUUUUGGCAAACUUCAGUCGGGCUGGAUCUUUGGUCCUCGUCUGACAGUUGCUGCGCGUGUACUUGUCCACGGUUCAUCCGUGAGGCCCAUUUGGGUUGCAACUGUAAAUAAAUCGUUGUGCUUAAAGCGGGCUAUGAUACUCUGCCAGAGCGAUUUAGCAUGGGACUGCAGAGUAGCUGUAUUUGAGUGAAGGUUGUGCUUCGGUAUGACUGGAUCUUGGUACAGCGCUUGUAAUGGAGCUCAGGGUGAGGCCCCGGGUACCAUGAGGCUAGAGGUGAAAUUCUGAGACCCUCAUGUGACCAACUAAGGCGAAAGCUGUCGUGGGCCACCACAAGCUCGUCUAUCAGGGACGAAAGUUGGGGGAUCGAAGACGAUUAGAUACCGUCGUAGUCCCAACUAUAAACGAUACCAACCGAGUAUUUGGGAAGACACUAUCCCAGCGAUCUUCUCAGAACUCAAGGGAAACCUUAAGUCUUUGGGUUCUGGGGGGAGUAUAGUCGCAAGACCGAAACUUAAAGGAAUUGACGGAAAGGCACCACCAGGAGUGGAGUCUGCGGCUUAAUUCGACUCAACACGGGGAAACUCACCAGGUCAGGACACAAGUUUGAUUGACA